UCCCUGGUGGCUCAGACGGUAAAGCGUCUGCCUAUGAUGCAGGAGACCCGGUUUGAUUCCUGGGUGGGGAA
rnacentral:tRNA from 1 species